GCUGUAUAGGCAGUGUCGUUAGCUGAUUGUUCUUACACACUAAUCACUAACUACACUACCAGUACAAC
rfam:Oreochromis niloticus linkage group LG10, whole genome shotgun sequence.